rnacentral:rRNA from 1 species
AGGCAGCAGUGGGGGAUAUUGCACAAUGGAGGAAACUCUGAUGCAGCGACGCCGCGUGAGGAGAAGGUUUUCGGAUUGUAAACCUCUGUCUUCGGUGACGUAAAAUGACGGUAGCCGAGGAGGAAGCCACGGCUAACUACGUGCC